rnacentral:rRNA from 1 species
UACGAAGGGGGCUAGCGUUGCUCGGAAUCACUGGGCGUAAAGGGUGCUUAGGCGGGUCUUUAAGUCCGGGGUGAAAUCCUGGAGCUCAACUCCAGAACUGCCUUUGAUACUGAAGAUCUUGAGUUCGGGAGAGGUGAGUGGAACUGCGAGUGUAGAGGUGAAAUUCGUAGAUAUUCGCAAGAACACCAGUGGCGAAGGCGGCUCACUGGCCCGAUACUGACGCUGAGGCACGAAAGCGUGGGGAGCAAACAGG